rnacentral:rRNA from 1 species
AGUGAACGCUGGCGGUAGGCCUAACACAUGCAAGUCGAACGGCAGCACAGUAAGAUCUUGCUCUUACGGGUGGCGAGUGGCGGACGGGUGAGGAAUACAUCGGAAUCUACUUUUUCGUGGGGGAUAACGUAGGGAAACUUACGCUAAUACCGCAUACGACCUACGGGUGAAAGCAGGGGAUCUUCGGACCUUGCGCGAUUGAAUUAGCCGAUGUCGGAUUAGCUAGUUGGCUGGGUAAAGGCCCACCAAGGCGACGAUCCGUAGCUGGUCUGAGAGGAUGAUCAGCCACACUGGAACUGAGACACGGUCCAGACUCCUACGGGAGGCAGCAGUGGGGAAUAUUGGACAAUGGGCGCAAGCCUGAUCCAGCCAUACCGCGUGGGUGAAGAAGGCCUUCGGGUUGUAAAGCCCUUUUGUUGGGAAAGAAAAGCAGCAGGUUAAUACCCCGCUGUUCUGACGGUACCCAAAGAAUAAGCACCGGCUAACUUCGUG